GGGGGCGUAAAGGUUUCGACGGGGGUUUUGAAGUGUGAUAAGCGAGCGGAGUACGGCGUGCUCUCCUUAAUCCGCGCCACGUUUAAAUAUAAACGCAAGAAAUAACAUUACAGUAACUAGAAAUAGUGCACUGGUAGCUGCUUAAGUCAGCUUCUGUCCACCGGAUGAGUACCACGGCUUCCGCUUGGGCAUCGAUCAGUGGUGAACGUUCCUGAGGAGCGUCCGUGCCUCAGGAAUGUAUACGGACUACCUUGGCUUCCAGCCCGUGUACCGGCGGCCUGCUAAGGGAAUCUCAAUAGGUGCAAUACGCUCGUAGAAAGUUGCAUGAAUGAACUUUCGGACAGGGGUUCAAUUCCCCUCGCCUCCACCA
rnacentral:tmRNA from 1 species